rnacentral:rRNA from 1 species
UACGGAGGGUGCAAGCGUUGUCCGGAUUUAUUGGGUUUAAAGGGUGCGUAGGCGGUCCAUUAAGUCUGGGGUGAAAGCCCGUUGCUCAACAACGGAACUGCCCUGGAAACUGGCGGACUUGAGUACAGACGAGGGUGGCGGAAUGGAUGCUGUAGCGGUGAAAUGCAUAGAUAGCAUCCAGAACCCCGAUUGCGAAGCAGCUGCCUAGACUGUAACUGACGCUGAGGCACGGAAGCGUGGGGAGCGAACAGG